GGCGGGUUGCCCGAGUGGCCAAUGGGAGCGGACUGUAAAUCCGUCGGCUUCGCCUACCCAGGUUCGAAUCCUGGACCCGCCA
rnacentral:tRNA from 1 species